rnacentral:rRNA from 1 species
UACGUAGGGCGCAAGCGUUGUCCGGAAUUACUGGGCGUAAAGCGUGCGUAGUCGGUUAUUUAAGUCGGGUGUGAAAGCCCCGGGCUCAACCUGGGAAUUGCAUUCGAUACUGGAUAGCUAGAGUUCGGCAGAGGGAAGCGGAAUUUCCGGUGUAGCGGUGAAAUGCGUAGAUAUCGGAAGGAACAUCAGUGGCGAAAGCGGCUUCCUGGACCAGAACUGACGAUCAGGCACGAAAGCGUGGGGAGCAAACAGG